ensembl:lncRNA
CGGCUCAGGUGUUAGUUGUAGGCGGGGCCUCAGACGACAGCUUGGUCCACUAAUCGCAAAAGCAAUUAAUUUUAUUUUCUUAAACAAACAAACAAUUUGGUAAAUAUAUAACAUAUAAAUAUGAAUUGGUUUUAAAAAUUGAGGAUGUUUUAUUCUUAAUAACGUCACUGGCACGCGGGAAGUAUCCUGUUUGAGGCCUACUCGAUUAUUUAGUUUAUUACUUAGUAGCAUUUAGGCACAAAGACACAAUUUUUUAUGAUAGUCGGAUAAAUGUUGAAGUAAGAAGAUGAAAAUACCAAAAAAUGACGCUUUCUUCAGUUUCACUGUGGAAAGACCGCGGAGGCUUUGGUUCCCAGCUGCAUGCUGUAAUAUGAGGCAUAUAGGUAAAAAGGAAAGAAAAUGCAUCCUCUCUCUUUCUCUCUCCCUCUUCCUUUUUCUCUGUGGUUGACAUGAGGCUAAUGAAAACAGGGUGUGGGUUUCCUUCAGCUCCUUUCAUACGCUUCAAUAAAAGGUGCGGCAGACAUUUUGGCUUCUACCUC